UCCUGGCUCAGGACGAACGCUGGCGGCGUGCUUAACACAUGCAAGUCGAACGGAGAUUUUAGCAAUAGAAUCUUAGUGGCGAACGGGUGAGUAACGCGUAGGCAAUCUGCCUUCUAGAUGGGGACAACAUCCCGAAAGGGGUGCUAAUACCGAAUGUUGUACCGUUUCCGCAUGGAGAUGAUACUAAAGGUGGCCUCUGAAUAUGCUACCGCUAGAAGAUGAGCCUGCGUCUGAUUAGCUAGUUGGAGGGGUAACGGCCCACCAAGGCUUCGAUCAGUAGCCGGUCUGAGAGGAUGAACGGCCACACUGGGACUGAGACACGGCCCAGACCCCUACGGGAGGCAGCAGUGGGGAAUCUUCCGCAAUGGACGAAAGUCUGACGGAGCAACGCCGCGUGAGUGAAGAAGGUUUUCGGAUCGUAAAGCUCUUUCGUUAGGGACGAACGUGCUCUUUGUGAAUAAUGAGGAGUAAUGACGGUACCUAAAUAAGAAGCCACGGCUAACUACGUGCCAGCAGCCGCGGUAAUACGUAGGUGGCAAGCGUUGUCCGGAAUUAUUGGGCGUAAAGCGCGCGCAGGCGGGAUAUCAAGUCUGUCUUAAAAGUGCGAGGCUCAACCUCGUGAGGGGACAGAAACUGGUAUUCUUGAGUGUCGGA
rnacentral:rRNA from 1 species